UACGUAGGCAGCAAGCGUUGUUCGGAGUUACUGGGCGUAAAGAGUGUGUAGGCGGUUCGCCAAGUCCGGUGUGAAAUCUCCCGGCUUAACUGGGAGGGUGCGCCGGAAACUGGCGGACUUGAGUGCGGGAGAGGAGAGCGGAAUUCCUGGUGUAGCGGUGAAAUGCGUAGAUAUCAGGAGGAACACCUGCGGUGUAGACGGCUCUCUGGACCGCUUCUGACGCUGAGACACGAAAGCGUGGGUAGCAAACAGG
rnacentral:rRNA from 1 species